GGCUGUGGCUCAGUGGUAGAGCACCUGCCUCGCACCUGGGAGGCCCUGGGUUCGAUCUUCAGCACCA
rnacentral:tRNA from 1 species